AACUUGUUGCAGGUUCCUGUGUACCUGAGGUCUUCUAAAGGCUGCAACAUGGGCAGAUGUUAAUUUUUGCACUGCAUUGAGUGUGAAGUUGAACUUGCUCUUAAGAAACUGGAAGUAUGCAGAAAUGGAAGGGACUCAGUCACCAUGUACCUGCUAUGGACUCCUUGGAUUUCCGUAGGAAAAACUCCUCUGUACAAAUUCAAGAUACAUGAAGCUGCUCAGGUUUCAGCAGCAAAACUGUUGCACCUGUGAUGCAAAAGGACUGAAGCUCUCUGUGUAGGUGUAGCAAUACUGACAAAAGAGCUCUGCAACUCUUGUUGGCACUGAAUCCAGAGGUGGCAGCAGUGCCUGUUGCAGGAGUUGGGCUACCAUCAAGCUUCUUUGUCUUCUGCAGUAGCCUCUGGGGCACUUUAUCCAGUAUGUGCUGUGGCUUCUUGCUCUCUUACUGGGGACAGCUGGGUAGGAGUGUGCAGGAGGGAGGGAUGCACUCAGAGGAAACAUCAGCAGUACCACUGCUUGGCUAUUACCUUUAUGAAUGCUUCAAACCUGCUUCUCUUCACUUGUCCUUCAGCAUUCUAGAUUUACUGCACAUUUGUGGAGUAAGUGUGGGAUUUAUAUCUGUUCUGCACCUAAAAAAGAAAAAGGUCUGCUUCGUAGUUUACUGUGCAUGCAUUUAAGCAACAUUCCUGAAAGCAAACAAUAGAAAACUGCUUCCCUGAGUAGAAAUGAGUGUAUAUAGGAGGCCUGGAACAUGAAUAAAAAGUUCUGUGGAGCUUAUAGUGGCAAAGGAAGACUAAAUGUGUCUGUAGUAAUUAAUAAAUUGUGGGACACAAAUAUAAAUCUGGGUUAGCAGCCCUUGUGCUUGUGCUGUCAGGUAACUGCUUUUUUUGUUGCAGUUGGUUCUGUUUGCUUAGCAUGCAAUAAGCAAACCUGCUGAUGUCACUUAAACUCAACUGAAUUUGAGAUCGUACAUCUUGAAAUUUAUAGCAAAAAAAACCCCAAUGAACAGGCAUCAAUCUUGUCACUGUGAAAGAUGACACAUUUUACUUGUCUACAUAAACAUCCUGCGGAUUUAACUAUAGAAGCAUUAUGAUUCCUAAUAUGCUUUCUGGCUUCGAAAUGCCAUCAAAUGAUGCUGUACCAUAUGAAUAAUAAUAUAUCUCAAACAAAGCAAAUGUAUAUCAACCUGCUAAAAAUCUGAGAAAUAGAGAAACGUCACAUGUAAUUUGUUAAUUCAAUGGGAUGCCUUUCCAAAGUCUGUUUAUACCCAGGGAAUAAUGUUUACUCAAGUGACUGAAUGCUGGGCACCUGUGAGCAAUACAGGGCAGCAAAGAAGCAGAGCUGGUUUAACAGCUGUAGGAAGUGUUAAGCUUGUUUAUUGUUAUUUUGGCUGCUGCUUGGGCCGAUGUGCUCCUUCCCUCAGCCCAGGAGCUAGAAGCACCCCGUGCAUUUACUUUGGAAAGUAAAUCAAUGAAUAAAGGCUUAACACACUAGAUUUACGUGUGCUGUCAGUUUCCAGGCAAUAUAAUUAUUGUCAGUUUUCUGCCUCCAACCACUUCUUUAGCUUCUGGAAAUAAUGAGAGGAUGUGUUUGGCCACGUGACGGUUUUUUGCCUUUGCACAAUUAGCCUCUUUUUCCCCCUUGGUGAAUCUUGCAUUUUAAAGAGCCCUCACACAUUCCUGCCUGAGACUUUGGUACAAUACCAUGUGACAAAAAAAAUCAUUUGACGAUACUGUAGCUGAAGUGUCCCUCUGUAUCACAUAGGAAACUGGGAGAUCAGUGUGGAGUUCAGAUCCACAGAAUAAUAGACUUAAAUAAACAGGAAGACAAAAGAUGCAAUACCUCAGCUUUCCAGAAAGCUGCAGAGGGACUGUGUGAUAGAUGGCUUCAAUUCAUGAAGGCAAGGUGCUGCAUGGUCAAUCUGUCCUGAAAAUCACUUAUUGGAGACUUCCUUGCUUUCUUCUCUUUCUUGCUCAUUAUGUCCCCUCCUGACACCACUGGCUUGGAAUGAUCCUAAAUGUUGCAAUGUGAAUGGCUGUCCUGGCAGCAGCACUCUGAGCUGUGUGCUGGGAAGCCCAGGGUUAGCACUGGUUUAGCACUGUACAGAGGCAAGGCUUUGUGCUGGUUCAUAGUCCUGAUCUUGGCUGGGAGAACAUGAGUUUCCUGAACGUCCAUUCCGUGUUUCUUUUAUAUUGAACUAUAGCAGGAUUGGUCUUGCUUUGUAAUUCUGUGGUGCUGUGAGAGAUGACUGACUAAAUCUGUGGCACUGUAAUUUGAAUGUGUGAAAUCACAGAGGUUAAGCAGUACGCAGCUUUCAGUAUCAUGUUUGUGUUUUGUCUUCUCUUCCUCAUAAAGCCAUGAACUGUGGAUCAAAAUACUCACUCACAGAAGUGUAUUUGUAACUAAUAACGCAUGUUUGUCUCAGGGAUAACGUUAUAAUAUUCUGGUGUGAGUGCUGUCAACUUCUUGUAAGAAAGGAAAAGAGACACAUCUCUUGCAGUGCAGGAUUUGCUCGCAGGAGGGCACGUGCUCAGCAGUGCCUGAGGUCAGACUGACUGGUGGCAGCAGAACUGGUGAUCUGUAUUUCGUGGGAGGAGAGAAAAUAGCUCCUGCUAAACUACAAGAAGAUUACUGCCUGUCUAUAGGAACCAUAGCUGAGAGAUUUUUUUUUUCCUUUGAUUCAGGUUUCAUUUUCUCUUGAUUGUAUGUAAAAGAGAUAGAGCUGACCUCUUUAAUUCCUGCGAAGACUAACUUGGUUUUCACUGUUGGGUAACUUCUGUUACAAACUAGGAGUGUUUCCUCCAAAAUUUACAAGAAUUUGUAUAAAAGU
ensembl:lncRNA